rnacentral:rRNA from 1 species
GGGUUGUGAGGUUAAGCGACUAAGCGUACACGGUGGAUGCCCUGGCAGUCAGAGGCGAUGAAGGACGUGCUAAUCUGCGAUAAGCGCCGGUAAGGUGAUAUGAACCGUUAUAACCGGCGAUUUCCGAAUGGGGAAACCCAGUGUGAUUCGUCACACUAUCAUUAACUGAAUCCAUAGGUUAAUGAGGCGAACCGGGGGAACUGAAACAUCUAAGUACCCCGAGGAAAAGAAAUCAACCGAGAUUCCCCCAGUAGCGGCGAGCGAACGGGGAGGAGCCCAGAGCCUGAAUCAGCAUGUGUGUUAGUGGAAGCGUCUGGAAAGGCGCGCGAUACAGGGUGACAGCCCCGUACACAAAAGCGCAUGUGCUGUGAGCUCGAUGAGUAGGGCGGGACACGUGGUAUCCUGUCUGAAUAUGGGGGGACCAUCCUCCAAGGCUAAAUACUCCUGACUGACCGAUAGUGAACCAGUACCGUGAGGGAAAGGCGAAAAGAACCCCGGCGAGGGGAGUGAAAAAGAACCUGAAACCGUGUACGUACAAGCAGUGGGAGCACCCUUUGGGGUGUGACUGCGUACCUUUUGUAUAAUGGGUCAGCGACUUAUAUUCUGUAGCAAGGUUAACCGUAUAGGGGAGCCGGAGGGAAACCGAGUCUUAAUUGGGCGUUAAGUUGCAGGGUAUAGACCCGAAACCCGGUGAUCUAGCCAUGGGCAGGUUGAAGGUUGGGUAACACUAACUGGAGGACCGAACCGACUAAUGUUGAAAAAUUAGCGGAUGACCUGUGGCUGGGGGUGAAAGGCCAAUCAAACCGGGAGAUAGCUGGUUCUCCCCGAAAGCUAUUUAGGUAGCGCCUCGUGAAUUCAUCUCCGGGGGUAGAGCACUGUUUCGGCUAGGGGGCCAUCCCGGCUUACCAACCCGAUGCAAACUGCGAAUACCGGAGAAUGUUAUCACGGGAGACACACGGCGGGUGCUAACGUCCGUCGUGAAGAGGGAAACAACCCAGACCGCCAGCUAAGGUCCCAAAGUCAUGGUUAAGUGGGAAACGAUGUGGGAAGGCCCAGACAGCCAGGAUGUUGGCUUAGAAGCAGCCAUCAUUUAAAGAAAGCGUAAUAGCUCACUGGUCGAGUCGGCCUGCGCGGAAGAUGUAACGGGGCUAAACCAUGCACCGAAGCUGCGGCAGCGAACGUAUCACCCAAGACAACUUUGCGGAGUUGACGAUUGACGGAGCGAAGCGACGUCAAAGCGUUCAUUAAAGUCGAGUUGGCUUAGGGAUACGUUCGUUGGGUAGGGGAGCGUUCUGUAAGCCUGUGAAGGUGGCCUGUGAGGGUUGCUGGAGGUAUCAGAAGUGCGAAUGCUGACAUAAGUAACGAUAAAGCGGGUGAAAAGCCCGCUCGCCGGAAGACCAAGGGUUCCUGUCCAACGUUAAUCGGGGCAGGGUGAGUCGACCCCUAAGGCGAGGCCGAAAGGCGUAGUCGAUGGGAAACGGGUUAAUAUUCCCGUACUUGGUGUUACUGCGAAGGGGGGACGGAGAAGGCUAUGUUGGCCGGGCGACGGUUGUCCCGGUUUAAGCGUGUAGGUGUGUGUUCCAGGUAAAUCCGGUUCACUUUAACACUGAGGCGUGACGACGAGGCACUACGGUGCUGAAGCAACAAAUGCCCUGCUUCCAGGAAAAGCCUCUAAGCAUCAGGUAACAUCAAAUCGUACCCCAAACCGACACAGGUGGUCAGGUAGAGAAUACCAAGGCGCUUGAGAGAACUCGGGUGAAGGAACUAGGCAAAAUGGUGCCGUAACUUCGGGAGAAGGCACGCUGACACGUAGGUGAAGUGAUUUACUCAUGGAGCUGAAGUCAGUCGAAGAUACCAGCUGGCUGCAACUGUUUAUUAAAAACACAGCACUGUGCAAACACGAAAGUGGACGUAUACGGUGUGACGCCUGCCCGGUGCCGGAAGGUUAAUUGAUGGGGUCAGCGCAAGCGAAGCUCCUGAUCGAAGCCCCGGUAAACGGCGGCCGUAACUAUAACGGUCCUAAGGUAGCGAAAUUCCUUGUCGGGUAAGUUCCGACCUGCACGAAUGGCGUAAUGAUGGCCAGGCUGUCUCCACCCGAGACUCAGUGAAAUUGAACUCGCUGUGAAGAUGCAGUGUACCCGCGGCAAGACGGAAAGACCCCGUGAACCUUUACUAUAGCUUGACACUGAACAUUGAGCCUUGAUGUGUAGGAUAGGUGGGAGGCUUUGAAGCGUGGACGCCAGUCUGCGUGGAGCCGACCUUGAAAUACCACCCUUUAAUGUUUGAUGUUCUAACGUGGACCCGUGAUCCGGGUUGCGGACAGUGUCUGGUGGGUAGUUUGACUGGGGCGGUCUCCUCCUAAAGAGUAACGGAGGAGCACGAAGGUUGGCUAAUCCUGGUCGGACAUCAGGAGGUUAGUGCAAUGGCAUAAGCCAGCUUGACUGCGAGCGUGACGGCGCGAGCAGGUGCGAAAGCAGGUCAUAGUGAUCCGGUGGUUCUGAAUGGAAGGGCCAUCGCUCAACGGAUAAAAGGUACUCCGGGGAUAACAGGCUGAUACCGCCCAAGAGUUCAUAUCGACGGCGGUGUUUGGCACCUCGAUGUCGGCUCAUCACAUCCUGGGGCUGAAGUAGGUCCCAAGGGUAUGGCUGUUCGCCAUUUAAAGUGGUACGCGAGCUGGGUUUAGAACGUCGUGAGACAGUUCGGUCCCUAUCUGCCGUGGGCGCUGGAGAACUGAGGGGGGCUGCUCCUAGUACGAGAGGACCGGAGUGGACGCAUCACUGGUGUUCGGGUUGUCAUGCCAAUGGCACUGCCCGGUAGCUAAAUGCGGAAGAGAUAAGUGCUGAAAGCAUCUAAGCACGAAACUUGCCCCGAGAUGAGUUCUCCCUGAGACUUAGAGUCUCCUGAAGGAACGUUGAAGACGACGACGUUGAUAGGCCGGGUGUGUAAGCGCAGCGAUGCGUUGAGCUAACCGGUACUAAUGAACCGUGAGGCUUAACCUUACAACGCCGAAG